rnacentral:rRNA from 1 species
UCCAGACUCCUACGGGAGGCAGCAGUGAGGAAUAUUGGUCAAUGGCCGGAAGGCUGAACCAGCCAAGCCGCGUGAAGGACGAAGGUGCCAAGCAUUGUAAACUUCUUUUGUCAAGGGACAAAAUCAGGCUCGAGAGCCUGACCGAGGGUACUUGAAGAAAAAGCAUCGGCUAACUCCGUGCCAGCAGCCGCGGUAAUACGGAGGAUGCGAGCGUUAUCCGGAUUUAUUGGGUUUAAAGGGUGCGCAGGCGGAGGUGCAAGUCAGCGGUCAAAUUGCGGGGCUCAACCCCGUACUGCCGUUGAAACUGCAUCCCUUGAGUGCGCGAGAAGUAUGCGGAAUGCGUGGUGUAGCGGUGAAAUGCAUAGAUAUCGCGCAGAACUCCGAUUGCGAAGGCAGCAUGCCGGCUCCACACUGACGCUGAGGCACGAAAGCGUGGGUAUCGAACAGGAUUAGAUACCCGUGUAAA